rnacentral:rRNA from 1 species
CCCUACUGCUAUCGGGGUGGGACUAAGACAUGCUAGUCGAGCGCCUUGAGCUAUGGCGAGGCGCGGCGUACAGCUCAGUAACACGUGGCUAACCUACCCUUAGGACGGAGACAACCCCGGGAAACUGGGGCUAAUAUCUGAUAGGUGAGGAGGCCUGGAAUGGUUCUUCGCUGAAAAGGCGUUGAAACCAUGCUUUUCAGCGUCGCCUAAGGAUGGGGCCGCGUCCGAUCAGGUUGUUGGUGGGGUAACGGCUCACCAAGCCUAUAACCGGUACGGGCCGUGAGAGCGGGAGCCCGGAGAUGGGCACUGAGACAAGGGCCCAGGCCCUACGGGGCGCAGCAGUCGCGAAAACUCCGCAAUGCGCGAAAGCGUGACGGGGCUACCCCGAGUGCCGUCCGCUGAGGAUGGCUUUUCCCCGGUGUAAUGAGCCGGGGGAAUAAGGAGAGGGCAAGUCUGGUGUCAGCCGCCGCGGUAAUACCAGCUCUCCGAGUGGUAGGGACGAUUAUUGGGCUUAAAGCGUCCGUAGCCGGCUUAGCAAGUCUUCUGUUAAAUUCAGCGACCUAAUCGUUGAGCCGCGGGAGAUACUACUAGGCUAGGAGGCGGGAGAGGCCGGCGGUAUUCUCGGGGUAGGGGUGAAAUCCUAUAAUCCCGGGAGGACCACCAGUGGCGAAGGCUGUCGGCUAGAACGCGCUCGACGGUGAGGGACGAAAGCUGGGGGAGCGAACCGGAUUAGAUACCCGGGUAGUCCCAGCUGUAAACGAUGCGGGCUAGGUGUUGGGGUGGCUACGAGCCACUUCAGUGCCGCAGGGAAGCCAUUAAGCCCGCCGCCUGGGGGGUACGGCCGCAAGGCUGAAACUUAAAGGAAUUGGCGGGGGAGCACCACAAGGCGUGAAGCUUGCGGUUC